CGACACUGUGCGCUCUCCUGCAGACAGCCUCUCCACGUCAAGCUUCCAGUCUGUCAAGUCCAUCUCUAAUUCAGGCAAGGCCAGGCCCCAGCCCGGCUCCUUCAACAAGCAAGAUUCAAAAGCUGACGUCCCCCAGAAGGCGGACCUGGAAGAGGAGCCCCUACUUCACAACAGCAAGCUGGACAAGGUUCCUGGGGUACAAGGGCAGGCCAGCUGCAGCACCUCAAGUCCCUCCUGGAAGGGAGCCAGAGGUCCCAGGCGGCCCCAGAGGAAGCUAGCUUUCCCAGGGACCAAGAAGCCACGCAUUUCCCCAAGGUCUCCACCAAGAGCCUCUCCAGGAAAUGCCUGAGCCCACCUGUGGCGGAGCGUGCCAUCCUGCCCGCACUGAAGCAGACCCCGAAGAACAACUUUGCCGAGAGGCAGAAGAGGCUGCAGGCAAUGCAGAAACGGCGCCUGCAUCACUCAGUGCUUUGAGCCACCCGCAUCUGCUCAGUGCCAGGCCCACCAACCUGCAGCUGGAGACUGGCUCCCUAUAGCAUUUCCUGAUAUUUCCGCUACUUUUAGGCCUGGCUAAAUUCCAAGAUAGAUAACACUCAAGAUAGAUAAAGUAAUUGAUCUCCAAACUGAGAAACUGUUUAUUUUCUAGCUGUUAUUUUGCUAUUUGCCAUUUACAUAAAAGCACAUGAUGAAGCAGGUAUCGCCUUACCUGUUGAAACUGAAAAUAAAGCUUG
rnacentral:lncRNA from 1 species